UAGGGAAUCUUCGGCAAUGGGGGGAACCCUGACCGAGCAACGCCGCGUGAGUGAAGAAGGUUUUCGGAUCGUAAAGCUCUGUUGUUAAGGAAGAACGAGUGUGAGAAUGGAAAGUUCAUGCUGUGACGGUACUUAACCAGAAAGGGACGGCUAACUACGUGCCAGCAGCCGCGGUAAUACGUAGGUCCCGAGCGUUGUCCGGAUUUAUUGGGCGUAAAGCGAGCGCAGGCGGUUAGAAAAGUCUGAAGUGAAAGGCAGUGGCUCAACCAUUGUAGGCUUUGGAAACUGUUAAGCUUGAGUGCAGAAGGGGAGAGUGGAAUUCCAUGUGUAGCGGUGGAAUGCGUAGAUAUAUGGAGAAACACCGGUGGCGAAAGCGGCUCUCUGGUCUGUAACUGACGCUGAGGCUCGAAAGCGUGGGGAGCGAACAGG
rnacentral:rRNA from 1 species